AACAAUUAGGUAAUUACAAAAGUGCACUUAUUAGUUUUUGUGUUUCCAAGAUGCAUAACACGAUCGGUCCAUGCUUGUACAAACAUCUCCAUAUGAAGCAACAACCACGUAUAAUAAACAUACUCUUGAAAAAGUCAGAUAACGUGCACAAAUGUUUGUAAAGCUUUUCAACUGUUGCUCAUAUAUUUUCUCAUUAGUAAAAUUCAUCAAGCCUUUCCAAGCAUCCAUUACAGCCUCACAAUCUUU
rnacentral:lncRNA from 1 species